UAUUGGGCGUAAGCGCGCGCAGGCGGUUCCUUAAGUCUGAUGUGAAAUCUCCCCUUUCAACCGCGAGCGGCCAUUGGAACUGGGGAACUUGAGUGCAGGAGAGGGGAGCGGAAUUCCACGUGUAGCGGUGAGAUGCGUAGAGAUGUGGAGGAACACCAGUGGCGAAGGCGGCUCUCUGGUCUGUAACUGACGCUGAGGCGCGAAAGCGUGGGAGCGAACA
rnacentral:rRNA from 1 species